rnacentral:rRNA from 1 species
CCUAGUAACGGCGAGUGAAGCGGCAACAGCUCAAAUUUGAAAUCUGGCUUCGGCCCGAGUUGUAAUUUGCAGAGGAUGUUUAUGGUGCGGUACCUUCCGAGUUCCCUGGAACGGGACGCCACAGAGGGUGAGAGCCCCGUCUGGUUGGAUACCAAACCUGUGUUAAACUCCUUCAACGAGUCGAGUAGUUUGGGAAUGCUGCUCUAAAUGGGAGGUAAAUCUCUUCUAAAGCUAAAUACCGGCCAGAGACCGAUAGCGCACAAGUAGAGUGAUCGAAAGAUGAAAAGCACCUUGAAAAGGGGGUUAAACAGUACGUGAAAUUGUUAAAAGGGAAGCGUUUAUGACCAGACUUGUGUCGUGUGGCUCAUCCGAGGUUCUCCCCGGUGCACUCCACACGGCUCAGGCCAACAUCGGUUCUCGUUGGGGGAUAAGAACAGUAGGAACGUGGCCCUCUUCGGAGGGUGUUAUAGCCUGCUGUACGAUACCCUGAUGGGGACCGAGGACCGCGCUUCGGCUAGGAUGUUGGCGUAAUGGUCAUUAGCGACCCGUCUUGAAACACGGACCAAGGAGUCGUCCAUUAGAGCGAGCGUUUGGGUGUAAAACCCGCACGCGUAAUGAAAGUGAAAUUAGGUGAGAGCUUCGGCGCAUCAUCGACCGAUCCUGAAGUUUACGGAUGGAUUUGAGUAAGAGUUUUAACGGACGGACCCGAAAGACAGUGAACUAUGCUUGAAUAGGGUGAAGCCAGAGGAAACUCUGGUGGAGGCUCGCAGCGGUUCUGACGUGCAAAUCGAUCGUCAAAUUUGAGCAUGGGGGCGAAAGACUAAUCGAACUGUCUAGUAGCUGGUUACCGCCGAAGUUUCCCUCAUGAUAGCAGUGUUGACCUUCAGUUUUAUGAGGUAAAGCGAAUGAUUAGGGACUCGGGGGCGCUUAUUAGCCUUCAUCCAUUCUCAAACUUUAAAUAUGUAAGAAGC